rnacentral:rRNA from 1 species
GACGAACGCUGGCGGCGUGCUUAACACAUGCAAGUCGAACGGAAAGGCCUGCUUUCCCUUGUGGAUUGCGGGUGCUCGAGUGGCGAACGGGUGAGUAACACGUGAGUGAUCUGCCCCCAACUUGGGUAUAAGCCUGGGAAACUGGGUCUAAUUCCCGAUAGGACUGCAGGGUGGUGCCUGUGGUGGAACACGAUUUUCUAGUGGUUGGGGGUGAGCUCGCGGCCUAUCAGCUUGUUGGUGGGGUAAUGGCCUACCAAGGCGGCGACGGGUAGCCGGCCUGAGAGGGUGGACGGCCACAUUGGGACUGGGAGACGGCCCAGACUCCUACGGGAGGCAGCAGUGGGGAAUAUGACACAAUGGGCGGAAGCCUGAUGCAGCGACGCCGCGUGGGGGAUGACGGCCUUCGGGUUGUAAACUCCUUUCGACCGCGAGGAAGCCACCUGGUUGGAAGGGUGGUGACGGUAGUGGUAGAAGAAGCACCGGCUAACUACGUG